UGUCAGCGAUUUGAAUUUGGCCCGCGGCGACAGGCGAUGGGCGGAGGUGGAGGCGUGGCGGAAGCGCCAAGGAGGGGAAUCCCCAAGCCAAUCAUAGUCCACAGACCUCCCGGUCCUAGCCUAUCGCUGCUCUCCCUUUCCUUCCAUCGACCGGGAGAGUACGCUCAGGGGAGCUUGGCGCGUGUGCAGGGCGCGAGAAGAGAGCAAGCCAGCAGCAAGCAGUGGAGCCUGGGGUGGGCCAGGGGAUGGAGGCGCUCUCUCGUGCAGGACUGCAGGUUCACAGGGGACGGGGUUAGUAGGGCGGUGAAAGAACUCGCGAACUAGCUUGUACCCCUGAGUUCGCGCAGCGUGCCCCUUUUCUCUCGGCACCAGAGUCUGCAUGUUAUGGCCUUGUCCUAGGAAAACAAAUUCUAACAUACUUCAAGUCCUAUAGGCCCCGAUGGUGAGAGAGAACACCUUUUCUUGCGUGCUGUAUUACUCUUCAUUUCUUGAGUUGCUUUGUGCUACCCACUGCCUGAGCAGAAGAAAGUGGUUCCCAAAGCAGUGCUACAGGAUCAUUCUCCUCGUGAAGAAAGGAUAUUUCUCAAGAGAACUUCUCUUCUCAGUUUGAACAAUAUUCUUUCGAAGAUCAAUCCUACCGUUGGUCCCUUGGGAAUCUACUUCACAGGGCUGCUUUCCAAAAAGUAAUCAUGAUGGAGGAAAAAACUGAAAACCAGAUGGAAUGGUUCUUAAACUUUAUGACCCUGGGCAUGGAUAAAAGCUUCUCAAAAAUCUGGAUUAGCAGUUCAUUGGCCCAUAUGCCAGGGCCAUAUGCAGAGGUGUCUCACUGCCUGGAAUCUGAGGAGGCACUCACCAAAGAGCCAUCUGAAGAGCAAGCCUUGUGCUUCCUGACAGAAAUUGUUCGAUUUCCUUGAUUCCUGCCCCAUUUGAUGAAUGGAACCAUACUGGAGUUGCCUCUUUAGCUUGUUACUAUUUCCCCAAGGGUGACUGAAGGGACAUUUGUAUCACCUGGAUUGAACCACUUCUAAAAAAUAGACUGGGUCGAUCAGAAGAGUAUUAUAUUUCCUAUUUCCUGGCAGAUCGACAUGCAGAGGUCACAACGCAGAUAGCAAGAUUUUGUGCAGCAGCUUGUAAAUCAAAAAGGGAACAACUUAGCUGUAACUGAAAUUUUAUAUAAUUUGAUACGGUGCCACUAAGUUAUGUUUUGAUUUUGUUCUGUUAUGUUGACUUAUGCUUUGUGUGUAUUUUGACUGGUCAUGGACUGUAAUAAACUAUUA